GGCAACUUGGCCGAGCGGUCUAAGGCGCCACGUUAAGGACUCAUCCUUAAUCACGAUCCUGAUUCAUCCCUGAUGAUAUCAACAGAUUCCGUGGUCCGAAAGGGCGUGAGUUCGAAUCUCACAGUUGUCA